UACGGAGGGUGCGAGCGUUGUUCGGAAUCACUGGGCGUAAAGGGCGUGUAGGCGGUCCGCUAAGUCUGAUGUGAAAGCCCGGGGCUCACCCCCGGAAGGGCAUUGGAAACUGGCGGACUCGAGUCCCGGAGAGGAAGGUGGAAUUCCUGGUGUAGCGGUGAAAUGCGUAGAUAUCCGGAGGAACACCAGUGGCGAAAGCGGCCACCUGGACUGUACCUGACGCUGACACGCGAAAGCUAGGGGAGCGAACGGG
rnacentral:rRNA from 1 species